AUUGAACGCUGGCGGCAGGCCUAACACAUGCAAGUCGAACGGUAGCACAGAGAGCUUGCUCUUGGGUGACGAGUGGCGGACGGGUGAGUAAUGUCUGGGAAACUGCCCGAUGGAGGGGGAUAACUACUGGAAACGGUAGCUAAUACCGCAUAACGUCGCAAGACCAAAGUGGGGGACCUUCAGGCCUCACACCAUCGGAUGUGCCCAGAUGGGAUUAGCUAGUUGGUGAGGUAAUGGCUCACCAAGGCGACGAUCCCUAGCUGGUCUGAGAGGAUGACCAGCCACACUGGAACUGAGACACGGUCCAGACUCCUACGGGAGGCAGCAGUGGGGAAUAUUGCACAAUGGGCGCAAGCCUGAUGCAGCCAUGCCGCGUGUAUGAAGAAGGCCUUCGGGUUGUAAAGUACUUUCAGCGAGGAGGAAGGCGUUAAGGUUAAUAACCUUAGCGAUUGACGUUACUCGCAGAAGAAGCACCGGCUAACUCCGUGCCAGCCGCCGCGGUAA
rnacentral:rRNA from 1 species